rnacentral:rRNA from 1 species
GGGCUUGGGAAAAGGUUCCCCCGUGCUGCAUGGAUUUUGACGUAUCUGUGCAGGAUAGGUGGGAGGCUUUGAAGCCCCCUCGCUAGGUUGUGUGGAGCCGACCUUGGAAUACCACCCUGGUUUGUUUGAGGUUCUAACCUUGGGCCCUGAAUCCGUCCGGGGACAGUGUCAUGUGGGCAGUUUUGACUGGCGGUCGCCUCUCCCAAAGUGUCGGAGGCGACCAAAAGUUUCCUCUUGGCGGUUGGAAAUCUCGCACCUAAUGUGAAGGGGCAAAGGAGUUUUUAUGUGCGAGACCCACCUCACGAGCAGGUGAAAAUCCGGCUUAUAGACCUCCGGUGGUUCUGUAUGGAAGGCCCCUCUCUCAGGAUAAAAAAGGCUCUCUGGGUAAAACGGGGAAAA